AUGAUGGACUAUAGGACAGGACUGCUGCUUUUAACUCUCUGCUCGGCAGGUGUUGAUGGUCAGACUCUGACAGAAUCUGAACCAGCGAUUAAAAGACGUGGAGAAUCCCACAGAUUGACCUGUACAACAUCUGGAUUCACAUUCAGUGGCUACAGCAUGCACUGGGUCAGACAGGCUCCUGGAAAAGGACUGGAGUGGAUUGCUUAUAUCAGAUAUGAUAGUGCUAGCAUCUACUACUCUCAGUCAGUUCAAGGCCGGUUUACCGUCUCCAGAGACAACAGCAGAGAGCAGCUGUAUCUGCAGAUGAACAGUCUGAAGACUGAAGAUUCUGCUGUUUAUUAUUGUGCUCGACACCCACAGUGACUGGAGUUGGUUGAGCAGCUGUACAAAAUCCUACAGUACUCAUUCUUUCAGGCUGG